UACGAGGGGGGCGAGCGUUGUUCGGAAUUAUUGGGCGUAAAGGGUGCGUAGGCGGCCUGACAAGUCUGAUGUGAAAUCCCUGGGCUCAACCCAGGGCCUGCAUCGGAAACUGUCGGGCUUGAGUAUGGGAGAGGUGAGUGGAAUUUCCGGUGUAGCGGUGGAAUGCGUAGAUAUCGGAAGGAACACCUGUGGCGAAAGCGGCUCACUGGACCAUUACUGACGCUGAGGCACGAAAGCUAGGGGAGCAAACAGG
rnacentral:rRNA from 1 species